UUAAACGUGACAUUUAAUGUGACUUGCAACUCCCGUGAAUCAUCGAGAUUUUGAACACAUACGGAACUCUUGCUGCUUUCGAGUAGCAAGGGUACUUGCUUGUGAGUGUCAGUUACCAUUCAUAUUAGCUCUGAGCGAUAAUCUGCCCUAGCCCACCACGUUAGAAAAGAUUGCUCUCAGCUAUCUUCAGUCUUAGGAUUGAACACGGUAUGCAUGAAGGCUUUGCCAGAUUGCAAUUUUAUUAUAUCUGACCUCAUUUGUGAGUGGUUACCCACUGAAUUUAA
rnacentral:misc_RNA from 1 species